UACGUAGGGGGCGAGCGUUGUUCGGAAUCAUUGGGCGUAAAGCGCGUGUAGGCGGCCCGGUAAGUCCGCUGUGAAAGUCCAGGGCUCAACCCUGGGAUGCCGGUGGAUACUGUCGGGCUCGAGUCCGGAAGAGGCGAGUGGAAUUCCUGGUGUAGCGGUGAAAUGCGCAGAUAUCAGGAGGAACACCAAUGGCGAAGGCAGCUCGCUGGGACGUGACUGACGCUGAGACGCGAAAGCGUGAGGAGCAACAGG
rnacentral:rRNA from 1 species